CCGCAGGAGGAAGAUGUCUAACACGCGCUGACCGCCAGGGGGGCGGAGUCACACAGGCUGACCGCCAGAGGGGAGGAGUCACACACGCUGGUCGCUGCGGUUCGAGGCGGAGGCUCCUCCAUCACUCCAACCUGUGGAGAUCAAAACGAACUUUAUCAAUAAGUCGGCUGCUACCAUCUGAUUUAUGUCCUAAUCAUUUCAUGUUUCUUUGAAUCUGUGUGUGUGUGUGUGUGUCUGUGUGUGUGUGUGUGUCUGAGUGUGUGUGUGUGUGAGUGUGUGUCUGAGUGUGUCUGUAAUUAAUAAACUGAAAUGAUGUGCGUGGUUUCAGGUUGGACAGAUUUUAAGUUAUUGAAGAUACUCAAAGAAAAUGACAUCACAAUGAGCAGAAAUCCCAACGGAGAGUUCAGGGUUAGAGAGAUAAGGCUCAGUGAUUUUGGUUAAUGUGGUGAUGUCUCAGGGUGUCUGGGAGGACACACACAC